ensembl:lncRNA
UUCAGAAUCAAGAGUGACGCAUAGGACACCGGGCUCUGUAACGUUCAGCGCACUGGGAGCUGACAGCAGGGCCAGAGCCACGGCGAGGCCGGAUGCCCCAGCCGGAUGAGAAACCCUGGUACUCUCCUGAGGGGUAGAACCCUCUGUAAGUGAUGUAACAAUGAAAGCUGGGGUGGAGAGUCUGAAAUGACCUCUCCCCCUGGGUCUGCAGGGCACGGUUUUCUUCUGGGAGGCUGACUUUACUAUUUGAUGUGAUGGGGUUCAGGACACGCUCCCCCAAAAGACUGCACCCUGACAUAUGGGCCCUCCCAAGCUGGAGGAAUCAGAGAAACGCCAGAAGCAGGCAGUGUCCUCUGACCUUUCACCCCACCCCCCUUCCCUUCUUCCCUGAAAUAGGUCAGAAAACUCCCGUGUGAGAGAUGCCCACACUCUGCCAGGAGGAAGGCAGACAUUUUUAGCACCAGAAAAGGGAAACUGGGAGUCAAGAAAUCAGUGCGAACAAACCCCGUUGAGCUCACUCAUCUUCCCACUUACUUCUUCACCGCAUGCUGCCCCAGCCCAAACCUCUUGGUGUGGCCGAUUCUUCACUGAUGUGUUGAUUCUUCUUCUACAAGACUCCAGUUCAUUUGCAGAAACCCCAGUGACCACAGGCAUGACCCAGGAGGCCCCAGUGACCACAGCCGUGACCUGGGAGGCUGCAGAAGAGCCCGUGAAUGGCCUGAGCCAGGCCACUAUGGUGUCUGAAAAAUGGUGCUGGGCUGCAUCCGCCCACGGGAGAGACAAGAGUAGACGUGUUACGCAGAGGACUUGGGAAACUCAGCUGUCGAACCUUGCACAUCUCGCGGUGUUGCAGGAGGGGUCUACCUUUUCCGCUCACAUCAGGCACAUGGGGAGCCUGCUCUUGAAGUUGAGUCCACUCUGGAUCACUUGUCUAGCUCCUUAGAGAGAAGAGUCAACGGGAUGGAAUCGUUCCUGCUAACUGAUCCCCGAGUAGACAACUCAGACCAAGCCAGCAGAUGGACCUAGAAAACAGCAGAUGUGCAUCAAAAAAGUCAGGCAAUAUAUAAUUAUGAAUUUUUAAGAUCAAAAGUGAUUCUAAAUAACCAGAAGUAAAUUGUCCCUUGUGUAGCACAGUUGAUUGCCAAAAGACCUUACAAGGACAUUUUUCUUGGACAGUUU